GUGAGGGUAAUGCCCCACCAAACCCCUUGUAACCCGUCGGCUCUGAGAGGAGGAGCCCGAGCAUGGCCACUGAGCCAAGGGCCCAGGCCCUAUGGGGCGCAGCGGGCGCGAAACCUCUGCACUAGGCGAAAGCUUGCCAGGGUUACUCUGAGUGAUUUCCGUUAAGGAGAUCUUUUGGCACCUCUAAAAAUGGUGCAGAAUAAGGGGUGGCCAAGUCUGGUGUCAGCCGCCGCGGUAAUACCAGCACCCCGAGUGGUCGGGACGUUUAUUGGGCCUAAAGCAUCCGUAGCCGGUUCUACAAGUCUUCCGUUAAAUCCACCUGCUUAACAGAUGGGCUGCGGAAGAUACUAUAGAGCUAGGAGGCGGGAGAGCCAAGCGGUACUCGAUGGGUAGGGGUAAAAUCCGUUGAUCCACUGAAGACCACCACGUGGCGAAGGCGGCUUGCCAGAACGCGCUCGACGGUGAGGGAUGAAAGCUGGGGGAGCAAACCGGAUUAGAUACCCGGGUAGUCCCAGCUGUAAACGAUGCAGACUCGGUGAUGAGUUGGCUUAUUGCUAACUCAGUGCCGCAGGGAAGCCGUUAAGUUUGCCGCCUGGGGAGUCCGGUCGCAAGACUGAAACUUAAAGGAAUUGGCGGGGGAGCACCACAAGGGGUGAAGCCUGCGGUUCAAUUGGAUUCAACGCCGG
rnacentral:rRNA from 1 species